rnacentral:rRNA from 1 species
UACGUAGGGGGCAAGCGUUGUCCGGAAUUAUUGGGCGUAAAGCGCGCGCAGGCGGUCUUUUACGUCUGAUGUGAAAGCCCACGGCUCAACCGUGGAGGGUCAUUGGAAACUGGGAGACUUGAGUGCAGAAGAGAAGAGUGGAAUUCCACGUGUAGCGGUGAAAUGCGUAGAGAUGUGGAGGAACACCAGUGGCGAAGGCGACUCUUUGGUCUGUAACUGACGCUGAGGCGCGAAAGCGUGGGGAGCAAACAGG